rnacentral:lncRNA from 1 species
GGUGAAUAUUGGAUUGAUCCAAACCAAGGAUGCAACAGAGAUGCAUUCAAAGUGUUCUGCAAUUUCACUGCAGGGGGAGAAACAUGCCUCUUACCAGACAAAAAGUUUGAGUCGGUCAGUAUAAUUGUAACAACAUGCAACUAGUAUACCGUAUAAGUAAGGUUAACACAAUACAGAAAACAUGAAUUUCAUGGUUUGUCACAGAAAAUUUUUGUUUUCAGUAUGUUAAUUGAAGAUAGAAGCUGAUGUUAUUUGAGCGAUUUUGUAAAAACUUUGAAAACAUUCUAGCAGAGGAGUGUAUACACUGUCAUAAGUUUUUAACACAGGUCCGUUAAUUCAGCAAUGUUAGAAUUAAGGUCAAUAGAUUUUUUUCUUAUCUGAUCAAUUAAAGGGACACUAUAUUCACCAGAACAACUACAGCUGAUUGAAUUUCUGGUUCUGGUGAGUAGAAUCAUUACCUUCAGGCUUUUUGCUGUAAACACUGUAUUUUCAGAGAAAAUGCAGUGUUUACAUUACAGCCUAGUGAUAACUUCACUGGCCACUCCUCAGAUGGCUGUUAGAGAUCCUUCCUGGGUCAUGGCUGCCUAAAAUGCAUCCAAACAUUCAGUAUCUCCUCUCUCUGCAUGCAGACACUGAACUUUCCUCAUAGAGUUUUGUUGAUUUAAUUCAUCUCUAUGAGGAGAUGCUGAUUGGCCAGGGCUGUGUUUGAAUCAUGCUGGCUCUGCCGCUGAUCUGCCUCUUUGUCAGUCUCAGCCAAUCCUAUGGGGAAGCAUUGUGAUUGGAUCAGGCCACCACUUCUGAUGAUGUUAUAAAUUGAGCACAAUCUUUACAUAACAAGGGAAGGCUUGGACAAGCAAUAACAAGUAUUGUAUACCACAUGGGAGACCUAAAGGGACACUGUAGGCACUAUAACUGCCAGGGUCCCUUAUUUCGUUUUUUCACUGCAUGGCAAGGCUUAACACUGAAUGGAGACACAGUGCCAGAAGACUCCAAGCAUUGUAGUCAAUUUAAUAAUAUGAAAUGUUUACAGUGCCUACAGUGUCCCUUUAAUGGAGUGAAAGGGCAGUCAGUUUGAAUUUGCCUUAGUGCUCUCUCCUGGAACAGUAGUGCAACACCCUCCUGGUAAAACAGUGAGGCAGGUAUGGUGGAGGUAAAUGAACAUACAAAACACGCUAAAGUGUGGUUAGUCGUAAUAUAUCUAGGUCAGGACCAUAGAGUCCAAUUUCAAUCUAAACAAAGGACCAUGUGUCUUAAGAAAAGAGUCUGUUUUCCAAGCUCCUCAACAAGUCAUGUAAUUUCUGCUUGGUUGGCAUUGGAUAACAUGGGGCAGCAGUUUCAUGUGGCAGCCAUACAAAGGUGGGGAAACUCCAUAACAGUUUUAUUUGUAGAUAUUUGAGUUUAAAAUGACUGAUUCCUUGUCUUUUCUCCACAGUUCACUGCUUAGAGAAUAACUCUGAAUUGCCUUUCCAGAAUACAGUUAAAACCACAUGAGUUUUAAAAAUGAUUUGGGGAGGAAGAGACAAAAGGGUUCUUCCCAAUGUUGUCACUAAGUUUUAGGCCAACCACCAAUGGCUAAAGUGGCUGUCACUAACCUUAACAAGUGGAUGCCAGCAUGUACCAGUACCAGAUGAAGGGGGGUGAAUCGGGAACAGGUCCAUAAAUCUGUCCAUAGUCCAUAUUGUAGGUACCAGGAGGCAAUAAUACAGUGGUAAAUACAUAAAAUGUGCCAGCCAGCUGUAUUUGACAUGCUCCGAUCAUUGCAUAAGAGCCCUUGAAUGGCCACAAAUGCCCAGCAGCAGGCUUGGGCUGCAUUUAACAGUAAUCACUAGACAUUCCAAAUUAGGACUGUGACACAUUAUCCAGGACUGUUGGUAGGAAUGUGGCUGGGCCAAUAUUGCAGAAUAAGGGGGAAAAUAUUAUAUAUGAAGCCUAAUGUGAGGUGUAACGUGUUCAGGACUGAAUCAGAUUUUUUAGAACUUGUGUACUUUUUUUAUUAUUAUUAUUUUAUGUAAGGAUACAGUACUUUGCUGCAUAACUUUUCUACAGAUAAAUACGAAAUAAAUAUCAUUAAACAUUUUUAUAUCAAGGUGAAAGUGGCAGCAUGGAACAAAGAAAUCCCCGGAGAAUGGUACAGCUCAUUUAAACGAGGCAAAAAGGUAAACUUAUUUUAUUUAUUUAUUUAUUUUUAUUUUGUUUUCAUAUUCUGAACAGGUUCAGUUAAUAAAAAAAAAAAGCUAUUAGGUAUUGAAUUUGGAGCAAAAUAAAUGUCUGUUUUAUUUUGUCAUUUUUACGGAUUUUUUUCACAUGUUUUCUGUAAACUGUAAAGACUAAAAAAAAAUGAAAUUUUUAUUUUGUCUUGAACGAGUAUGCCACUUUUUCACAAAAUAACUGUUUGCCACGUGUUUAGUAGUGGGUUGCAUAAAGUUCCAUAUUGCAGAACUUUGAAAUAUUCUUGCACUUAAUUAAAUAAAAAAUUACUGUUAAUGUAACACUGUUUUCUGUUAAUUUUUCGCAGUUCCAGUACAUAGAUGCAGAUGGAAAUCCAGUUCAUAUAGUCCAGAUGACCUUCCUCAAACUUUUAAGUGCCACAGGUCGACAAAACUUUACCUAUAAUUGUCAGCAAUCUGCUGCAUGGUAUGAUAU